CUACGGAGGGGGUUAGCGUUGUUCGGAAUUACUGGGCGUAAAGCGCACGUAGGCGGACUGAUCAGUUAGAGGUGAAAUCCCAGGGCUCAACCCUGGAACUGCCUUUAAUACUGUCAGUCUAGAGAUCGAGAGAGGUGAGUGGAAUUCCAAGUGUAGAGGUGAAAUUCGUAGAUAUUUGGAGGAACACCAGUGGCGAAGGCGGCUCACUGGCUCGAUACUGACGCUGAGGUGCGAAAGCGUGGGGAGCAAACAGGAUUAGAAACCCUAGUAGUCC
rnacentral:rRNA from 1 species